rnacentral:rRNA from 1 species
UACGUAGGCAGCAAGCGUUGUUCGGAGUUACUGGGCGUAAAGGGUGUGUAGGCGGUUAUUUAAGUUUGGUGUGAAAUCUCCCGGCUCAACCGGGAGGGUGCGCCGAAUACUGAAUGACUUGGAGUGUGGGAGAGGAAAGUGGAAUUCCUGGUGUAGCGGUGAAAUGCGUAGAUAUCAGGAGGAACACCGGUGGUGUAGACGGCUUUCUGGACCGUAACUGACGCUGAGACACGAAAGCGUGGGUAGCAAACAGG